rnacentral:lncRNA from 1 species
CCAUCAUAUUGUAAUAUCUCUUUGCAUAUUCACACUCAGAAAAAAAUGAUAGCCUAAAAAAGUAACUAGCAACAUAGAUUAGCAAAUGGUCAAAAAAGGAAAAAUGGUCCAAGAUUCCCUGAGAAGGAAAAGAAAAACAAAGCCUAGGUACAACCAGGCUGAUACACUAACAGGCUAAGGUUGAACAUGUCAAACGCUCAUGAGAUAAUGUUAAAUCAGAAAAGCCUGCAAAAAUUGCAUUGAAAAAGGCAACUUACAGCAGCAUCUCCGUUGAAUCAGAAGCGUAUAAGAACACUCUUUAAACAGUCAACGACAUUUGAAAUAACACCAGAGUUACACUAUUAAUCAAGAAGCCCUCUUAGGAGGUGCCAUGUUUUUAAUAAGAGAAAUGGUUGUACCAAUAACGAAAAAUUGUACCACAAAUCCUGCAGAACAAGGACAUGGUCAAUACACCAAUUGUAUGCAGCAUAUGAUGAGAACCAGCUUUGCAAUAUGAAGCUCACCUAGUAGGACAGCUGCAAUCUUUAGAGUCUCCAAACUUGUAAAAUUUUGAAAAGCCUACAGAAAAACAUCAGUAGAUAUUUUUCAAUCAAGCCAAAAUGAUAGCAAGAAAUCAGAAAGAAACAAAUACACAAUAACAUCGUUAGAUUACUUUUAAUCAUGCCCAAAUAAUAGCAAGAAAUCAAAGAAAGAAGCAAAUACACAAAUAACAUCAUUAGAUUACUUUUAACCAAGCCCAAAUGAUAGCAAGAAAUCAAAGAAAGAAGCAAAAUCACAUAAAAUCAGAAGGAACAACUAACUUCUUGCAAAUGAGAGAGGAUUAUUUUAAGUGGUUUGACUAGUUUGAAAGAAGGAAAAAGUGAAUUGUCUGUAAAGAUAGUGUUUUGUGAACUUCAAAUAAGUUAUCGUACUUAUUGCUUGAUUCCAUUCUUUUACUUCCAUAUUAACCAAUAAACCCCUAAGAAAGCUAUUUGAAAAUUGGAAUACUGUCAAAGCCACUUUCCAACAUCAUGGACAAUGAGAUAGAACUAUCAAGUGGUCACUUUGAUGCUAAAAAGAGGCAACCAUAUAGUGAAAGAGGGAAUGAGAGCUGGUGAACACAGCAGGGGAUCUUCGACAAAGGAUACAGAGGGAAUGAAGAGACGGGUGAACACGAGCAGGGAAUCUUCAACAAAGGAUACAAAGGGAAUACCAGGUGGUGAGGGUGAUAGUAAGGAGGGGCGACAACAGAGUCUUAAGGAAGAGGAAGAGAAAAGUGGAACCCUUUUUUUUUUCUCCUUUUCUCAUUGGGCAUAAAUAGAGUAAAAGGAACCAUAACAAGCUACCUUCCUUCAAACAAGAACUGUCACAAACAACCAGCAUAUAUGGAUGUUGAGAUAUUUUGGUCUCUCUGUGGAUUAGUGACUCGGGUUAUACUCUCCUUUUACCCUUUUUCAGAAACGGGGUGGAGGAAGGACUAGCAUUAUAAACUUAUCUAUUUUUUAAAACAAGUUGACGAGAAACUACCAGAAAGACCAUACUCUUGCAAUAAAAUUAUCCACGGUGUAAAUGGGGAGAUAAAUGGAUGGCUACGGCCCUGCUGAAAGAUCAGUUCCCUGAACUGUUUGCAAUUGCCCAAUACAAGUAAGCUUCCUUGGCUUAUCUGAGAUUAGCAUAUCUGGAGGAUAUAAUUCAGAAGGAAUUUUAACGAUUGGGAACUGGAUAGAGUGACUGAAUAUUUUGCAACUUUAGAACCUUUCCAGCAGUUAUUCAUAAUAAAGACAGAAUUGCAAUAAGCCAGGAAAAAAUGGACUGUUAUCUGUCAAAUCUUACUACAAGGUACUCACUGGAAGCACAAAACCGAACUCACGUCGGCCAUGGCAAAGAAUAUGGAAGACAAAGGCCCCAUACAAAGUUGCUUGUUUCACAUGGUUGGUAGCUAGAGAGGUAUGUCUAAGUCAAGACAACCAACAGAGAAGGAGCCUAAAUUUAUGUAACAGGUGUUACCUUUGUGGUUAGCAAUCAGGGAGUAUAAAGCACAGGUUCCUACACUGUUCCAGAACCAACGUACUUUGGAAAAUAUUUUGAAUUACACUUGGCUCAUGCCUG